UACGGGGGGGGGCAAGCGUUGUUCGGAAUUACUGGGCGUAAAGGGCUCGUAGGUGGCCAACUAAGUCAUACGUGAAAUCCCUCGGCUUAACCGGGGAACUGCGUCUGAUACUGUUUGGCUUGAGUUUGGGAGAGGGAUGCGGAAUUCCAGGUGUAGCGGUGAAAUGCGUAGAUAUCUGGAGGAACACCGGUGGCGAAGGCGGCAUCCUGGACCAAUACUGACACUGAGGAGCGAAAGCCAGGGGAGCAAACGGG
rnacentral:rRNA from 1 species